rnacentral:rRNA from 1 species
UACGGGGGGGCAAGCGUUGUUCGGAAUUACUGGGCGUAAAGGGCUCGUAGGCGGCCAACUAAGUCAGACGUGAAAUCCCUCGGCUUAACCGGGGAACUGCGUCUGAUACUGGAUGGCUUGAAUCCGGGAGAGGGAUGCGGAAUUCCGUGGUGUAGCGGUGAAAUGCGCAGAUAUCAGGAGGAACACCGGUGGCGAAGGCGGGUCUCUGGGCCGAUACUGACGCUGAGGAGCGAAAGCGUGGGGAGCGAACAGG